rnacentral:tRNA from 1 species
CAUCUGAGAAGCUAGUGUAGCAUUAACCUUUUAAGUUAAAGACCGGGAACCUGAAUUUCCCCUCAAUGA